ensembl:lncRNA
CCUCAAGUGUGAGUGGACUGAGUACUAUUAGUCCACUGUGGUUGCAUAAACUGAAGCCAGCCUCAAAGGUAAUUAGAAACUGCAACAUUCCCAGAGGAGGUAUAGGUAGGUAAUGAGUACUGAGAAAUCUGCUUCAUCAGGUACCUCACAUCUUUCUCAAUGAUUCAUGACAGUCAACAACUCCAGCAUAUACAGUUUCAUUCGCAGCGAAAGAAUACGAAGACUUCAAACUGUUUCAUAGAGACGCACACGUACACUACAAAGCCACACAUACGAACAUGAAGUAUUCUCACCGGACACUUGUAAUCUGCUAGAGCGAGCUGAAGCCCUUUCUCCUGUGCAUUUAAAAUGGAACCGAAGGCAGCUUGCUUUCAAGCCACAGACACUAUUUACCUCCUCUGAAGCUCAGAGUAGUUGAGCUGUGAAUGAUAACCUGCGGAUGCGGAAAUGACUGCAGACUGGCAGACGUGGAUCAGCAAGGGGCCUAAUACCAGCACCUCUGAAAUGCUGGCCUAGAGGGAGGCUGAGGCAGGAGGAUUGCCAUGAGUCUGAGGCCAGGUUGGACUACGUUACGUCUUGGUAAAUAAAUACGGUGUUUUGAAGAUGCUGCAAAAUUGGACUCUUGAGAUGUGGUUGGAGGGGCUGAGGAGACGGCUCAGCAGUUAUGAGAACUGGUUGUUCUCUUAUGAGUCCAGCACCCACAUGGCAUGUCACCUGCACCUCUAGGCUCAGAGGAUCUGACACUCUCUUCUGUCCUCCACAGGGCGCACAGGCACACACGCAGGCGAAACAUACAGAGACAUAAAGUAAAUACGAUGGAAACAUGAUUCCAAGUGGACCCUACAUCACGUUGGGUCCUGGGGGUUCCUGGGAACAGGAUACUCUGUAACAGGCUCCUGAAACGCUAGAGAAUCUAUGAGGGGAAUCGAUGACUGGAAGGACCUUGG